UACGUAGGCAGCGAGCGUUGUUCGGAUUUACUGGGCGUAAAGGGUGCGUAGGCGGUUUUCUAAGUUUGGUGUGAAAUCUCCCGGCUUAACUGGGAGGGUGCGCCGAAAACUGGAAGGCUUGAGUAUGGGAGAGGUAAGCGGAAUUCCUGGUGUAGCGGUGAAAUGCGUAGAUAUCAGGAGGAACACCUGCGGUGUAGACGGCUUACUGGACCAUAACUGACGCUGAGGCACGAAAGCGUGGGUAGCAAACAGG
rnacentral:rRNA from 1 species